rnacentral:rRNA from 1 species
UACGCAGGGUGCAAGCGUUGUCCGGAAUUAUUGGGCGUAAAGAGCUUGUAGGCGGUUUGUCGCGUCUGCUGUGAAAUUUCGGGGCUCAACCCCGAACUUGCAGUGGGUACGGGCAGACUAGAGUGUGGUAGGGGAGACUGGAAUUCCUGGUGUAGCGGUGAAAUGCGCAGAUAUCAGGAGGAACACCGAUGGCGAAGGCAGGUCUCUGGGCCAUAACUGACGCUGAGAAGCGAAAGCAUGGGGAGCGAACAGGA